rnacentral:rRNA from 1 species
GGAGGGUGGAAGCGUUGUUCGGAAUUACUGGGCGUAAAGCGCGCGUAGGCGGUUUUAUAAGUCAGAUGUGAAAGCCCUCGGCUCAACCGGGGACGUGCAUUUGAAACUGUGAGACUUGAGUAUUGGAGGGGGUGGUGGAAUUCCCGGUGUAGAGGUGAAAUUCGUAGAUAUCGGGAGGAAUACCAGUGGCGAAGGCGACCACCUGGCCAAAUACUGACGCUCAUGUGCGAAAGCGUGGGGAGCAAACAGGAUUAGAUACCCUGGUAGUCCACGCCGUAAACGAUGUCAACUAGGUGUUGGGACGGUUAAUCGUCUCAUUGCCGCAGCUAACGCAUUAAGUUGACCGCCUGGGGAGUACGGUCUCAAGAUUA